UGGGGAAUUUUGGACAAUGGGGGAAACCCUGAUCCAGCCAUCCCGCGUGUGCGAUGAAGGCCUUCGGGUUGUAAAGCACUUUUGGCAGGAAAGAAACGUCAUGGGUUAAUACCCCGUGAAACUGACGGUACCUGCAGAAUAAGCACCGGCUAACUACGUGCCAGCAGCCGCGGUAAUACGUAGGGUGCAAGCGUUAAUCGGAAUUACUGGGCGUAAAGCGUGCGCAGGCGGUUCGGAAAGAAAGAUGUGAAAUACCAGAGCUCAACUUUGGAACUGCAUUUUUAACUACCGGGCUAGAGUGUGUCAGAGGGAGGUGGAAUUCCGCGUGUAGCAGUGAAAUGCGUAGAUAUGCGGAGGAACACCGAUGGCGAAGGCAGCCUCCUGGGAUAAGACUGACGCUCAUGCACGAAAGCGUGGGGAGCAAACAGG
rnacentral:rRNA from 1 species